rnacentral:rRNA from 1 species
UAGUCCACGCCCUAAACGAUGCUUACUCGACGUGUGGCUGUAUGGCUGCGCGUCCAAGGGAAACCGUUAAGUAAGCCACCUGGGGAGUACGUUGGCAACAAUGAAACUCAAAGGAAUUGACGGGGUCCGCACAAGCGGUGGAGCAUGUGGUUUAAUUCGAUGAUACGCGAGGAACCUUACCUGGGCUCGAAUGGUACUGGACCAUUGAUGAAAGUCGAUUUUCUCUUCGGAGACUAGUAUCAAGGUGCUGCAUGGUUGUCGUCAGCUCGUGCCGUGAGGUGUUGGGUUAAGUCCCGCAACGAGCGCAACCCUUAUCCUUAGUUGCCAGCACAUAAUGGUGGGGACUCUAGGGAGACUGCCGGCGCAAGCCGUGAGGAAGGUGGGGAUGACGUCAAAUCAUCAUGGGCCUUUAUGCCCAGGGGCUACACACGUGCUACAAUGGUGCAAACAGAGGGGUAGCCAAGCCGCGAGGGUGGGAGCCAAUCCCAGAAAUUGCAUCCCAGUUC